GAUGAACGCUGGCGGCGUGCCUAAUACAUGCAAGUCGAGCGGACGGACGAGAAGCUUGCUUCUCUGAUGUUAGCGGCGGACGGGUGAGUAACACGUGGAUAACCUACCUAUAAGACUGGGAUAACUUCGGGAAACCGGAGCUAAUACCGGAUAAUAUUUUGAACCGCAUGGUUCAAAAGUGAAAGACGGUCUUGCUGUCACUUAUAGAUGGAUCCGCGCUGCAUUAGCUAGUUGGUAAGGUAACGGCUUACCAAGGCAACGAUGCAUAGCCGACCUGAGAGGGUGAUCGGCCACCCUGGAACUGAGACACGGUCCAGACUCCUACGGGAGGCAGCAGUAGGGAAUCUUCCGCAAUGGGCGAAAGCCUGACGGAGCAACGCCGCGUGAGUGAUGAAGGUCUUCGGAUCGUAAAACUCUGUUAUUAGGGAAGAACAUAUGUGUAAGUAACUGUGCACAUCUUGACGGUACCUAAUCAGAAAGCCACGGCUAACUACGUG
rnacentral:rRNA from 1 species